rnacentral:rRNA from 1 species
GAUGAACGCUGGUGGCGUGCCUAAUACAUGCAAGUCGAGCGAACGGACGAGAAGCUUGCUUCUCUGAUGUUAGCGGCGGACGGGUGAGUAACACGUGGAUAACCUACCUAUAAGACUGGGAUAACUUCGGGAAACCGGAGCUAAUACCGGAUAAUAUUUUGAACCGCAUGGUUCAAAAGUGAAAGACGGUCUUGCUGUCACUUAUAGAUGGAUCCGCGCUGCAUUAGCUAGUUGGUAAGGUAACGGCUUACCAAGGCAACGAUGCAUAGCCGACCUGAGAGGGUGAUCGGCCACACUGGAACUGAGACACGGUCCAGACUCCUACGGGAGGCAGCAGUAGGGAAUCUUCCGCAAUGGGCGAAAGCCUGACGGAGCAACGCCGCGUGAGUGAUGAAGGUCUUCGGAUCGUAAAACUCUGUUAUUAGGGAAGAACAUAUGUGUAAGUAACUGUGCACAUCUUGACGGUACCUAAUCAGAAAGCCACGGCUAACUACGUGCCAGCAGCCGCGGUAAUACGUAGGUGGCAAGCGUUAUCCGGAAUUAUUGGGCGUAAAGCGCGCGUAGGCGGUUUUUUAAGUCUGAUGUGAAAGCCCACGGCUCAACCGUGGAGGGUCAUUGGAAACUGGAAAACUUGAGUGCAGAAGAGGAAAGUGGAAUUCCAUGUGUAGCGGUGAAAUGCGCAGAGAUAUGGAGGAACACCAGUGGCGAAGGCGACUUUCUGGUCUGUAACCGACGCUGAUGUGCGAAAGCGUGGGGAUCAAACAGGAUUAGAUACCCUGGUAGUCCACGCCGUAAACGAUGAGUGCUAAGUGUUAGGGGGUUUCCGCCCCUUAGUGCUGCAGCUAACGCAUUAAGCACUCCGCCUGGGGAGUACGACCGCAAGGUUGAAACUCAAAGGAAUUGACGGGGACCCGCACAAGCGGUGGAGCAUGUGGUUUAAUUCGAAGCAACGCGAAGAACCUUACCAAAUCUUGACAUCCUUUGACAACUCUAGAGAUAGAGCUUUCCCCUUCGGGGGACAAAGUGACAGGUGGUGCAUGGUUGUCGUCAGCUCGUGUCGUGAGAUGUUGGGUUAAGUCCCGCAACGAGCGCAACCCUUAAGCUUAGUUGCCAUCAUUAAGUUGGGCACUCUAAGUUGACUGCCGGUGACAAACCGGAGGAAGGUGGGGAUGACGUCAAAUCAUCAUGCCCCUUAUGAUUUGGGCUACACACGUGCUACAAUGGACAAUACAAAGGGCAGCGAAACCGCGAGGUCAAGCAAAUCCCAUAAAGUUGUUCUCAGUUCGGAUUGUAGUCUGCAACUCGACUACAUGAAGCUGGAAUCGCUAGUAAUCGUAGAUCGGCAUGCUACGGUGAAUACGUUCCCGGGUCU